rnacentral:lncRNA from 1 species
AUUAAAGGUAGGUUACAGUCGCAUCUGCGCAUGUGCUAGACUUUUGUUUAUGUGGGGACACACAGGAAGUUGUCAUCCUCUGUUUGUGCUCGGUCCAGUCUCAUUUCUGGCAAUAACACGCGCGUUGUUUUUAUAACGCAAGUGAAUUUAAUGCCCAAGGAGCAAGAAGUUUCCAAAAUAUUUUGAGCUUUUUUGAGCGACAGUCCGUCAAAUAACGAGUUAUUGAGGCAACAUGACGAGUAGGAAAGGAUACUACGCUAACAGGGAUGCUUCGAAAGUGUAUCAAAGUGUAUCUAUUAUAUUGUUUUCCUCGAUGGAGAGCGCAUCCAUUUCUGCGUCUGCCCAUGAAUGGCCAUGAUAUACCUGCAUCCUCAAGCUUCUACCAAAGGUUGUCAAGAAACGAAUCCAAGAAGGAUUGGAGAUUGCUCCCAACAUAGCUGCAAUGUUGAUCCUUCAGAGAAAUCACUUGUUUUAAAGCCCAUCAAUCGAGGUUUUAAUGACUAUAAAAUUUUCUAUAUUACACUAUUUCACUAUCGUUAAUAUAUACGAACGGUUUAUCUAUUUUAUUUACAAACUGAAACCCAUAAUAUAAUUAUAAAGGCCUAAAGAUAUGAUACUCGUGAGUAGUGAGUUGUCGAUGAAAAAAUAAUGAACAAUUUGGACUUUUGGAUGACUGUUUAUAUAGACGUGUUAUUGUCACUUGUCAGAGUGAUAAUCUACUUGGCUGUAGCAGUGCGUUAAUUACUGUCUUUGACUGUCUGCUCAUGGACAACUUGUAAAGUUACUAAGUAGAUUUUAAUUUGAUCAAAACACUUAACAGUUUAAAUGCCUUUUAGUUGCUCUGAAGUUACAGUACUUGACCUAAUGGGGUGUUUAUAUGGAGGCAAGCCAGCUCGGGUGCCUGAGCUAGCUUACUUGGCCGAGAUCUAAUGUUGCUAGAUAAUUUAUACUAAUAUUCGUAUUGUGUGUAUAUGAGAACCAGGCUGGCUUGCCUAAGCGAGAUCUUGUUUAAUGACAGAGCCCCAGAUCAGAGCCCGACAGAGCCCCCAGAUCUCGCCUACGUUGGCUGGUUUGCCUAAGCCGCUGAAUACGAAUAUAUUGCCAAUUACUAAUUGUAGUAAAUAAGACUUUCUCAACAGAUUUUUAAUCUAUAGUUUUAAAAAUUAAUACCUCUGUGAACAGUUGUGACGGUCAUAACCAUGACAGUUUCUCGCAAUGAUUUGUUUUGGUGCCAGCCUGCUACAUGAUGAAAUUAGCAAAGCCACCUAUCUCAGGUAACCGGGCUGGCUUGCCUCCAUAUAAACACCCCUAAGACAUUUAGUUUAUAAAAGAUUUUGAUCACAAAUACUUAUAUGAUGUAAACAAACUCAACUAAUAAUUACUAGUAUAUUUUCCACCCUAAUUGUAAGUAAAGCUUGCAUAUAAGAACCUACUGUAUAUGAGGGCCUGUCAGGCUAAUUUUUCAGUAUUUAGACACCCAAUCUGUUUAGGCUAGUAUUUCAGGUUCUUAUUUUAUCACAUGGAGACCAGUCAGAUCUAAAAAUGUAUAAAAAUCAAAGAGAAUAAACUCUUCACAAAGUAAUGAAAAUGAUCCAGAACCCUGAAAAUGUCAUUGAGAUAAA